rnacentral:rRNA from 1 species
GGAGUUUAUAACUUUGGAUGUGUGAGAAUUAAGAUUGGGUUAAGUAUAUCAAUAUAAAAGUGGAGGUUUAGUAAAGGGUAUAGAUAAAAUUAAGUGAGGGUUAAAGGAAGUACCGAGAGGGAAAUUUGAAAUAAAAUGAAAUAGGAAUUUAUUUAAAAGUAGGCUUAGUGCUGUACCUUUUGUAUCAGGGUUUAUUAAAUAUAUUGGAUGAUUCUUUAAUCUCGAUAUAAGGAGGGCUAUUUUACUAAAUUAUAUAAGGUAGUAAACUUAUUUAAAAUAGUGGGAUAGGAACGAAAAGUUAAACGAUCCUUAUGGUUUCUAGUUUCUUAAGAAAUAAAUUUAAUUUAGGAUUGGUGAGAAUUUUGGAAAAUAUAUCUAGAAUUUAGAACCAUUCUACUAGCUUGAGGGAUAAGCUUUGGGUUAUAAUUAAAACUUAGAAUUAAAGGAAAAUCUGUAAGCUUGAAAGUAGCUAUCAAUUAAGGAUGUUAUAAUUUAUUUUCUCAGGUAAUAAUUUUAUUACGUUUAGUUAGUUAUUAAGAAAUGAUCUUGAAUUAUUAGGAUCAGGUAUAAUGAUAAAAUAAGUAUAAGUAUGUGUAAAAGUAUUAAUUUUAGUAAGGAACUCGGCAAAUGUAGUGCUCGCCUGUUUAUCAAAAACAUCGCCUCUUGUGGAAAUAGAAGGUCUGACCUGCCCACUGAAGAAAGUUAAAGGGCCGCGGUAUUUUGACCGUGCAAAGGUAGCAUAAUCAUUAGUCUUCUAAUUAAAGGCUGGAAUGAAUGGUUGGACGAGGUACUAGCUGUCUCACUAAAAUAAAUUUGAAUUUAGCUUUUUAGUCAAAAGGCUAAAAUGAAGUUGGAGGACGAGAAGACCCUAUAGAGCUUUACGUUGAACUUUUUUAAUUUGUUUUGUUGGACUUUAAUUUUAAAAGGUAGGCGUUUCGUUGGGGUGACGGGAAGAUAUAAUUAACUCUUUUUAAAAGUUAACAUUGAUGAAUGAAUAGUUGAUCCAUGAGUGAUGAUUAAAAGACUAAGUUACCUUAGGGAUAACAGCGUAAUCUUUUUUGAGAGUUCUAAUCGACAAAAAGGGUUGCGACCUCGAUGUUGGACUAAGGGUUAUUUUUGGGUGUAGCAGCUCAAAGUUUAGGUCUGUUCGACCUUUGAAUCCUUACAUGAUCUGAGUUCAGACCGGCGUAAGCCAGGUCGGUUUCUAUCCUCAAUUAAUUGAAAUAUUUUAGUACGAAAGGACCAAAUAUUUAAGAUAUUCUUAGGAAGUGAAUAAUAUUAACUA